GCCUGGCUGGCUCAGUUGGUUGGGCGUCUGACUUCGGCCCAGGUCAUGAUCUCACAGUUCGUGGGUUUGAGCCCUGCGUCGGGCU
rnacentral:tRNA from 1 species